GAGGAAUAUUGGUCAAUGGUCGCAAGACUGAACCAGCCAUGCCGCGUGCAGGAAGACGGUCCUAUGGAUUGUAAACUGCUUUUAUACAGGAAGAAACCCUCCCACGUGUGGGAGCUUGACGGUACUGUAGGAAUAAGGAUCGGCUAACUCCGUGCCAGCAGCCGCGGUAAUACGGAGGAUCCAAGCGUUAUCCGGAAUCAUUGGGUUUAAAGGGUCCGUAGGCGGUCUUAUAAGUCAGUGGUGAAAGCCCAUCGCUCAACGAUGGAACUGCCAUUGAUACUGUAAGACUUGAAUGCUUAGGAAGUAACUAGAAUAUGUAGUGUAGCGGUGAAAUGCUUAGAUAUUACAUGGAAUACCAAUUGCGAAGGCAGGUUACUACUAAGUGAUUGACGCUGAUGGACGAAAGCGUGGGGAGCGAAC
rnacentral:rRNA from 1 species